rnacentral:rRNA from 1 species
GAUCAGUGGCUCAAGGGACGACGCUGGCGGCGUGCUUAACACAUGCAAGUCGAACGGAAAGGCCCUGCUUUUGUGGGGUGCUCGAGUGGCGAACGGGUGAGUAACACGUGAGUAACCUGCCCUUGACUUUGGGAUAACUUCAGGAAACUGGGGCUAAUACCGGAUAGGAGCUCCUGCUGCAUGGUGGGGGUUGGAAAGUUUCGGCGGUUGGGGAUGGACUCGCGGCUUAUCAGCUUGUUGGUGGGGUAGUGGCUUACCAAGGCUUUGACGGGUAGCCGGCCUGAGAGGGUGACCGGCCACAUUGGGACUGAGAUACGGCCUAGACUCCUACGGGAGGCAGCAGUGGGGAAUAUUGCACAAUGGGCGGAAGCCUGAUGCAGCAACGCCGCGUGCGGGAUGACGGCCUUCGGGUUGUAAACCGCUUUCGCCUGUGACGAAGCGUGAGUGACGGUAAUGGGUAAAGAAGCACCGGCUAACUACGUG